rnacentral:rRNA from 1 species
GACAGAGGUGCCGAGCGUUAGGCGGAAUCACUGGGCUUAAAGCGUGUGUAGGCGGGCGGACAAGUACCUUGUGAAAUCCCACGGCUCAACCGUGGAACGGCUGGGUAUACUGUUUGCCUUGAGCCAACUAGGGGCGAGCGGAACAAGUGGUGGAGCGGUGAAAUGCGUAGAUAUCACUUGGAACGCCAAAGGUGAAAACAGCUCGCUGGGGUUGUGCUGACGCUGAGACACGAAAGCCAGGGGAGCGAACGGG